rnacentral:rRNA from 1 species
UGGGGAAUAUUGGACAAUGGGGGGAACCCUGAUCCAGCCAUGCCGCGUGUGUGAAGAAGGCCUUAUGGUUGUAAAGCACUUUAAGCGAGGAGGAGGGUACUGGUAUUAAUACUACCAGGUACUGGACGUUACUCGCAGACUAAGCACCGGCUAACUCUGUGCCAGCAGCCGCGGUAAUACAGAGGGUGCGAGCGUUAAUCGGAUUUACUGGGCGUAAAGCGUGCGUAGGCGGCUAAUUGAGUCGGAUGUGAAAUCCCCGAGCUUAACUUGGGAAUUGCAUUCGAUACUGGUUAGCUAGAGUGUGGGAGAGGAUGGUAGAAUUCCAGGUGUAGCGGUGAAAUGCGUAGAGAUCUGGAGGAAUACCGAUGGCGAAGGCAGCCAUCUGGCCUAACACUGACGCUGAGGUACGAAAGAAUGGGGAGCAAACAGG